rnacentral:rRNA from 1 species
GUCUUUGAACGCAAGUUGCGCCCGAAGCCCUCGGGCCGAGGGCACGCCUGCCUGGGCGUCACGC